AUUGAACGCUGGCGGCAGGCCUAACACAUGCAAGUCGAGCGGAUGGAGGGAGCUUGCUCCUGGAUUCAGCGGCGGACGGGUGAGUAAUGCCUAGGAAUCUGCCUGGUAGUGGGGGAUAACGUCCGGAAACGGGCGCUAAUACCGCAUACGUCCUGAGGGAGAAAGUGGGGGAUCUUCGGACCUCGCGCUAUCAGAUGAGCCUAGGUCGGAUUAGCUAGUUGGUGGGGUAAAGGCCUACCAAGGCGACGAUCCGUAACUGGUCUGAGAGGAUGAUCAGUCACACUGGAACUGAGACACGGUCCAGACUCCUACGGGAGGCAGCAGUGGGGAAUAUUGGACAAUGGGCGAAAGCCUGAUCCAGCCAUGCCGCGUGUGUGAAGAAGGUCUUCGGAUUGUAAAGCACUUUAAGUUGGGAGGAAGGGCAGUAAGUUAAUACCUUGCUGUUUUGACGUUACCAACAGAAUAAGCACCGGCUAACUUCGUG
rnacentral:rRNA from 1 species